rnacentral:lncRNA from 1 species
AGCGUUUCACCUCCUACGGUUUCCAGAUUGAUAGUGAACUUUAAUAAUCAUCAAUAGAAACGUUCCCUUCAAUCACAGGUCCUAAAUUCACAUCUAAUCCCUUUCAAGCUUUCUCUAUCGUCAUGAGAUUCAAAGCUUUUAGUAAAAAGUUGGAUUCAUAAGAUUCCUUAGUCCGACGUCACCGUCGCUCCAACAAAUGAAGCCUCUGCCAGCCUCAGUCGUAAAUGGAAGUGGAAUCAAGGUAUCGGAUCCCUCUCCCCAGCUUCCUGUCUUCUUUAACGAACUAUUUUCUCUUUGAUUAUUCUGAAGGAAAACAAAAUUGAAACGUUGUAGUUGAUCAGGUUGAUUCAGAACGCUGUGCUGAUUGCA